UCCCGCUCGUAAUACAAAUUCUAAAGAGUGUUUAUAUGAUCCCGCCACUUAUCCCGCCUAGACGGGAUCUCGGCAACAGAUGCCGGGAUCCCGCCUAAGCGAGAUGAAAAAUUCCCAUAUAAACACUUCAUCCCGCCUAGCCGGGACGAAAAAUUCCCAUAUAAACACUUCAUCCCGGCUAGGCGGGGUGAAUUUUUCCCUUUUGAGCAUGCGUAUAUGCCUUUAUUACAACAAAAAUAUGACGUCAAGCACUUAAAUGGCUUCAUCCCG